rnacentral:tRNA from 2 species
GGCGGCGUAGCUCAGGUGGCAGAGCGAACGGCUCAUAAUCGUUAGGUCACAGGUUCAAGCCCUGUCGCCGCCA